UAAUCACUGGCUCUUGGGCCCAUUGUUUCUGGAGCGAUUUGGCAGCAAAGGAGGAGAGAUUGGGAAAUCUUGUCACAACAUUCCCGAGGCAGCCACGUUUCUCCAACCCCACGUUUAGUGUGGAGUCCUGUCUCCGAGUCCUGACCAGGUGCUUACGUACCGCUUUGGUGUUGAAACAACCGUCCUCCCUACAAGACAGCCUGGCCCAAUCCCAACCAGCUCCACGAGAAGGCUCAUCAUGAUAUUCAGGGCAACGCUGGGCCUCUGUAAUCUUCACACACUCUGAAUUUCCAUUCUUGGAGCAACACCAAUGCAACCUCCCUUUGUCCACGUCCUUACUCCUCUGCCAAUGUCACACUCGGGGUUGUGGCCUUCUUUCCACCAGCGACCCCGUUGCACCCAUGAUGUUAUGAAAUGAGGCGGUCUGGGGAGAUCCCAGCUGAGGACCCUCCGGAAGCUGUGAAGGAGGGUUUGUUUCUGGUGUCCCGCCUCUCUCUGCCUGGGAGGCUGCUGAGUCAGAGCAUCAAGAUAAUCACUCAACUGAAGCUUCGAUUUUAUAGGACAACUUACAGUUUUGCUCCCUGAUGUGUUGGUUGAACUCACCCUUUUGGGGAAGCAGACGAGGCAUGAUAUACACCGUGCGGACGAAGAAAACCCAGCUGAGGGCGGGUUAGUGGCUCGUCCAGCUUGAGAGCCGUCAGAACCUUCCAGACUUCCUAGCAGCAGAUGCUUUCCUUAGCUCCUGUGUUGCCCUUCCACGGGCACGAGCACCCCAGCCCUCUCCUGGGCUGUGGUGUGCCCUCUGCUCUUCCCUGCCUCUGUAGCUGUUUAUCUCUAGAUGUUUCCAGACCCAUCAGCCCAAGGAGCCGGCUGUGCGGAGGGGCUUGCACUUCUACCCUCAGCAACUGUGAGUCACUAGAUGGAAGUAGAGGCGAGGAGGAGUGGGAGAGAGGAAAAGUUUAGAAGUUUGGGGAGAAUGAGAAGGAGGGAGAGAGGAGACCUCAUUGUUCUCCAGUGCGGGGAUGUCUGUCUGGGUCCAAGACAAAGGGCCAGGAAGCCCUCAUUGUUCCUCUGGCCUCUGUGGGAUGCAAGAGAUUGGACUCAUUUCUUUGGAUUCAUGUGGGAAGUCCUGGCUCUGUCAGCUAAACAUCAGCUAUAACCUUUCAAACCAUGGCUGACGGGAAAAUGAAGACUGCCCUCCAGAACUUCUCCAAGAACACAGGAGGCUGCCAAUUGGAAAGCAAUGGGGAGCCAGCAGGACUAAUCUGCUCACCACAUGCACCUCCUCCCCCCACCCACCCGACUGGUUUCUCUUACACCCCUCCACCAUCGAAUUAUCCAGCCAGCCAGGCAUUGCUGGUUCAUUUCAAACGCUUACAGAGUGCCUACGAUGUGCCAGGCCUGGACCUGGCCAUGGGGCUAAAGGCCCAUAGCA